rnacentral:lncRNA from 1 species
AGAUCUUUGAAGACUUGCUCUACUCUCCAACCAGGGGGAACGCCUCCAAGACGCACCCAAAAGGCAGCUUUGGUAUACUCAUAACAAUGCUCAGGUAUUUCUGGUUCGCACUGUCUUAAUACGAGCAGGUUACUAGAAUACGACCAGGGUGAUGCCUUCAUAAUUCUCUCUUUCUCCUCCUUCGUUUGAAAAAUAAAGGUAAAUAACCCAUGUUCUUUUUGUGCACAUAUAACAUUAUCAACUUUCCACGCUUUUUUCAUAGUGGAAACAAAUGCUGGGAAAUUAACAUUAGGUUUGGAGAAGAGCUUACCAAGGAGCGUGCGUUCACAUUCCUCCUUUUUUGUCUGAGAAAUUUCAGGGAAUACUUCUACAACGUCCUCAAACCAAAGGUAACCCAGUUUUUUACAUAGUGCAGCCACUCUUAGUUCAUUAUCGUCUUUUCUCUCCAUCAAUACUGAAGUAAAAUUUCGCUAUAUCAAUCCACCAGCCCAGAAGAUCGAGAAUACCCUUCUUCCUCAUAUACACUUAAUCAAUCAACCAGCACAGAAGCUCCAGACAACUCAUCUUCCGCGAAUACAGACAGCCAAUCAACCUGCAUUUAGACUCAUCCCUUUCAACCGCUACUCCUCGACAAUACCCGGGGCCAUCGAUUGAAGAAAUCAACCAUAGCAGAAUAAUUUCCAAUCACCCAGAUCCGAAGAGAUUCAAAGAUAAUCCGAAGACUACGCUGCUAGAUCUACACCAAUGCAUGAAGACGAUGACUAGAUCGGCGAACUCCACUGUUCG